rnacentral:rRNA from 1 species
UACGGAGGGUGCAAGCGUUGUUCGGAAUUAUUGGGCGUAAAGGGCGUGUAGGCGGCCUCGUAAGUCUGAUGUGAAAGCCCCGGGCUCAACCUGGGAAGUGCAUUGGAAACUGCGAGACUUGAGUACGGGAGAGGGCAGUGGAAUUCCUAGUGUAGGAGUGAAAUCCGUAGAUAUUAGGAGGAACACCGGUGGCGAAGGCGGCUGCCUGGACCGAUACUGACGCUGAGACGCGAAAGCGUGGGGAGCAAACAGG